CUGGUUGAUCCUGCCAGUAGUCYCAAYUUGUCUCAAAGAUUAAGCCAUGCAUGUCUAAGUAUAAGCAAUUUAUACAGUGAAACUGCGAAUGGUCYCAUUAAAUCAGUUAUCGUUUAUUUGAUAGUACCUUACUACUUGGAUAACCGUGGUAAUUCUAGAGCUAAUACAUGCUUAAAGUCCCGACUGUUUGGAAGGGAUGUAUUUAUUAGAUAAAAAAUCAAUGUCUUCGGACUCUUUGAUGAUUCAUAAUAACUUUUCGAAUCGCAUGGCCUUGUGCUGGCGAUGGUUCAUUCAAAUUUCUGCCCUAUCAACUUUCGAUGGUAGGAUAGUGGCCUACCAUGGUUUCAACGGGUAACGGGGAAUAAGGGUUCGAUUCCGGAGAGGGAGCCUGAGAAACGGCUACCACAUCCAAGGAAGGCAGCAGGCGCGCAAAUUACCCAAUCCCGACACGGGGAGGUAGUGACAAUAAAUAACGAUACAGGGCCCUUUCGGGUCUUGUAAUUGGAAUGAGUACAAUGUAAAUACCUUAACGAGGAACAAUUGGAGGGCAAGUCUGGU
rnacentral:rRNA from 1 species